UACGUAGGGUGCAAGCGUUGUCCGGAAUUAUUGGGCGUAAAGAGCGUGUAGGCGGUUUGGUAGGUCCGCUGUGAAAACUCGAGGCUCAACCUCGAGACGCCGGUGGAAACCAUCAGACUAGAGUCCGGAAGAGGAGAGUGGAAUUCCUGGUGUAGCGGUGAAAUGCGCAGAUAUCAGGAAGAACACCCGUGGCUAAGGCGGCUCUCUAGUACGGUACUGACGCUGAGACGCGAAAGCGUGGGGAGCGAACAGG
rnacentral:rRNA from 1 species